rnacentral:rRNA from 1 species
AGUGAACGCUGGCGGUAGGCCUAACACAUGCAAGUCGAACGGCAGCACAGUAGAGCUUGCUCUCUGCGUGGCGAGUGUCGGACGGGUGAGGAAUACAUCGGAAUCUGCCCAGUCGUGGGGGAUAACGUAGGGAAACUUACGCUCAUACCGCAUACGCCCUUCGGGUGUAAGAGGGGGAUCUCAAGACCUCUCGCGCUUGUAUGAGCCGAUGUCGGAUUAGCUAGUUGGCGGGGUAAUGGCCCACCAAGGCGACGAUCCGUAGCUGGUCUGAGAGGAUGAUCAGCCACACUGGAACUGAGACACGGUCCAGACUCCUACGGGAGGCAGCAGUGGGGAAUAUUGGACAAUGGGCGCAAGCCUGAUCCAGCCAUACCGCGUGGGUGAAGAAGGCCUUCGGGUUGUAAAGCCCUUUUGUUGGGAAAGAAAACUUGCAGGCUAAUACCCUGGGAGGAUGACGGUACCCAAAGAAUAAGCACCGGCUAACUUCGUG